GUUCUCCGUAUAGAGCUCCAGCUGUCAUCUCCUCUCAGUUAGUUAAUUGGUCUGAUUCGCUCCGGAGUCGUUCGGAGAGGCGUCCCGAUCUUCGUCCGUUCUGCCGGGAUGUAAGAGUUGAAUUCACCACCACAUGUAGCAUCUGGAAGUCAUAGUUUAAAAAGACUCUUGUAAGCUGUUUGCGGGUUGGUGGCUGCUGUGUCCAGAUGCGUUUCUCCAUCAGCAGCUGUUCAUCAGGGGCUUCAGUGGUCUGCAGGCUCACCAUCCGUGAUUUAAAAGAUUGGAUUGUAUUUCUACAAAGCGUUUUGUAGUUACAGACUGACUGGCUACAGGACCAUGGACAGUGACACCAGCACCACAGUGGACUGGAAAGCUGCUUACAGUGGCAAGAACAAAUCUCUGCAGUAAGGCGAGUCCAGUCUGGAAGGGACUCACCUUCCUGCUCCGAAAAAGGAAUUAAGCAGG